UACGGAGGGUGCGAGCGUUGUCCGGAAUCACUGGGCGUAAAGGCGCGUAGGCGGCCUGAUAAGUAGGGGGUGAAAUCCUGCGGCUUAACCGCAGGGCUGCCUUCUAAACUGUCAGGCUUGAGCACAGUAGAGGCAGGUGGAAUUCCCGGUGUAGCGGUGGAAUGCGUAGAGAUCGGGAAGAACAUCAGUCGGCGAAGGCGGCCUGCUGGGCUGUUGCUGCGCUGAGGCGCCGGACAGCGUGGGGAGCAAACAGG
rnacentral:rRNA from 1 species